ensembl:lncRNA
CUCUCUCUCUCACACACACACACACACACACACACACACACACACACACAGACACACAGACACACAGACACACAGACAUAGACACACAGACACAGACAAAGAGGCGCACACUCUCACACACGCUCUCUCUCUCGCUCUCUCUCUCACACACACAUACACACACACACACACACGCACACACACAGUAGAGUGAGAGAAAACAAGAGGUCAGAUGUAGAGGUCAGAUGUAGGGUUCAGAUGUAGAGGUUAGAUGUAGAGGUUAGAUGUAGGGGUUAGAUGUAGGGGUUAGAUGUAGGGGUCAGAUGUAGGGGUUAGAUGUAGGGGUUAGAUGUAGGGGUCAGAUGUAGGGGUUAGAUGUAGGGGUCAGAUGUAGGGGUCAGAUGUAGGGGUUAGAUGUAGGGGUUAGAUGUAGGGGUCAGAUGUAGGGGUUAGAUGUAGGGGUUAGAUGUAGAGGUUAGAUGUACGGGUCAGAUGUAGGGGUUAGAUGUAGGGGUCAGAUGUAGGGGUCAGAUGUAGGGGUUAGAUGUAGGGGUUAGAUGUAGAGGUUAGAUGUAGGGGUCAGAUGUAGGGGUUAGAUGUAGGGGUUAGAUGUAGGGGUCAGAUGUAGUGGUCAGAUGUAGGGGUCAGAUGUAGGGGUCAGAUGUAGGGGUUAGAUGUAGGGGUCAGAAGUAGGGGAUAGAUGUAGGGGUCAGAUGUAGGGGUCAGAUGUAGGGGUCAGAUAUAGGGGAUAGAUGUAGGGGUCAGAUGUAGGGGUCAGAUGUAGAGGUCAGAUAUAGGGGAUAGAUGUAGGGGUCAGAUGUAGGGGUUAGAUGUAGGGGUUAGAUGUAGGGUCAGAUGUAGGGGUCAGAUUUUGGGUCAGAUGUAGGGGUCAGAUGUAGUGGUCAGAUGUAGGGGUCAGAUGUAGGGGUCAGAUGUAGGGGUCAGAUGUAGGGGAUAGAUGUAGGGGUCAGAUGUAGGGGUUAGAUGUAGGGGUUAGAUGUAGGGGUCAGAUGUAGGGGUUAGAUGUAGGGGUCAGAUUUGGGGUCAGAUGUAGGGGUCAGAUGUAGGGG